CCGUUCCGAAGGGCGCGAACGACGAACGACGGCGACCGGGCACGGCAUCUCAUCCGCGGUGAACCAACACACACACACGCACACGCGCCGGCGCACGCACACACACACUGCAGACACACGCGCGCACGCAAACACCAGUCGGCCCCGCGAGUUUCGUUUUGCAAACGUUUUCAGUGGGACUCGAACGACGGCCGCGGCACCAGGGACGGCGAACUGUAGGCGCACCGACACGGAACCGACGACCGGAAACCGUGGCCAAUAUUCAUCGAUAUCCGCGCGAAUACACUCGCCCGAGAUCACGAACUUCAAGCGCACUGGAUAUUUGGAUAUACUGCCGUUUCACAGUCCAAGUACACGACGACGCGUCGCCGACCGAUCAAACAGUGCAACAGCAGCAUCAGGACACGAUAUAUAGGUACAUCUACUCGUCCGUGAUUUCGCCCGGGGACGAGUACACAUACAAUACACUGAGUUCGACGGAUAAAUCUGAGGUGGAAGGUGAAACACGGCCGCCGAUGUCAUAUUAUUGUCUCCGGACACCGCCGGUCGUUUGUUCCACGCGGAAUAAUAGUAAUAAUAAUACAAAAUAACAACGAUUAGUAAUUAUAAAAUAUUACCAAACGUUAUUAUUAUUAUAUUAUUGUUAAUGGUCCAUAAGUCGUGCGAUAAUACGCGGGCCGUAUACAAUGCAAGGCGACGAAACAACAGUACAUUAUUUUCUACGCCACACUACAACCCGUUACCGCAAAUUCAACAGUUAUAUAUAUAGUGAGUAAAAACAAAAACAAAUUUAAAAAAAAUUCUAAUAUCACUAUAACCUACUUAAUAUAAUAUAAUAUUGUAUUAUAUAUUUAUAUAUUUUUUUUUUCGUUCUCGUCGGCUGUGUAUACCCGAGCGAUACUGUCGAAAACAGUCGGAGGUAUACAAAUGUGUAUAAAUUAUUAAAUAAUUAUUAUUACAUGAUGAUAAUGUUGUAUACGUGAAAAAAAUUAAACUAUUUCGUUCGACACGUUUUGUCAAA